rnacentral:piRNA from 1 species
GCGGGGCAGAGAGUUUGCAGAACAGGU